rnacentral:rRNA from 1 species
UACGAAGGGGGCUAGCGUUGCUCGGAAUUACUGGGCGUAAAGGGCGCGUAGGCGGCACUGUUAGUCAGGCGUGAAAGUCCUGGGCUCAACCUGGGAACUGCGCUUGAUACGGCAGAGCUAGAGGAUGGAAGAGGGUCGCGGAAUUCCCAGUGUAGAGGUGAAAUUCGUAGAUAUUGGGAAGAACACCGGUGGCGAAGGCGGCGACCUGGUCCAAUACUGACGCUGAGGUGCGAAAGCGUGGGGAGCAAACAGG